rnacentral:rRNA from 1 species
GACAGCAGUCGCCACGGGAACACGGAGGGUCCAAGCGUUAUCCGGAUUUAUUGGGUUUAAAGGGUGCGUAGGUGGCCUGUUAAGUCAGGGGUGAAAGACGGUAGCUUAACUAUCGCAGUGCCCUUGAUACUGAUGGGCUUGAAUGAACUAGAGGUAGGCGGAAUGUGACAAGUAGCGGUGAAAUGCAUAGAUAUGUCACAGGACACCGAUUGCGAAGGCAGCUUACUAUGGUUUUAUUGACACUGAGGCACGAAAGCGUGGGGAUCAAACAGGAUUAGAUACCCCGGUAGUCCCUGUCUCUUAUAC